rnacentral:rRNA from 1 species
UAGACUACGAGGUUGAUAGGCAGGGUGUGGAAGCGCUGUGAGGCGUGGAGCUAACCUGUACUAAUUGGUCGUGUGGCUUGACCGUAC